GAUGAACGCUGGCGGCGUGCCUAAUACAUGCAAGUCGAGCGAACAGACGAGGAGCUUGCUCCUCUGACGUUAGCGGCGGACGGGUGAGUAACACGUGGAUAACCUACCUAUAAGACUGGGAUAACUUCGGGAAACCGGAGCUAAUACCGGAUAAUAUAUUGAACCGCAUGGUUCAAUAGUGAAAGACGGUUUUGCUGUCACUUAUAGAUGGAUCCGCGCCGCAUUAGCUAGUUGGUAAGGUAACGGCUUACCAAGGCGACGAUGCGUAGCCGACCUGAGAGGGGGAUCGGCCACACUGGAACUGAGACACGGUCCAGACUACUACGGGAGGCAGCAGUAGGGAAUCCUCCGCAAUGGGCGAAAGCCUGACGGAGCAACGCCGCGUGAGUGAUGAAGGUCUUCGGAUCGUAAAACUCUGUUAUUCGGGAAGAACAAAUGUGUAAGUAACUAUGCACGUCUUGACGGUACCUAAUCAGAAAGCCACGGCUAACUACGUG
rnacentral:rRNA from 1 species